ensembl:lncRNA
UUUGGAUUCUGAAGAUGCAAAUUUAGUUCCUCUUUCUUGACCAGCGAGAUCUUUGACUAAGCCAUCUCCCCAGCUGACCUUUUGUGUAUAUACAAUGGUUAUCAAAUAAAAUAUUUCAAACCAUGGUCAAGGCAGGGAAAGUUUUAAAGGCCUAAUGAUGCUAAGAUGACCCAUUUUUCACCAGUGCUGGAGAAGUACAGCAAGAAAUUUGUGGCUAAAGACUGUCUUUGUGUCAUGACUGAUCUCCUAAAUGGAAACAUGCUGUGGCUGCCAUAGACUCAGCUCUGUCCUCCUCUGUCUUAUCUGAAUCAUGCGAAGCUUCUUUACCCUUUAAAGCUCCUUUCAAGAACAUCAUUGACUUUGAAAAUGGUUUGCAGAGAUUGCUCCAGACAUUUUGUUUUAGUUGUAUUUGGAGUUUGCUGAUAAUGAAGACACCACAUACUUCAGUCACAAGUCAUGGAACAAUCACUCUGGUACUGACCUGGGAGUUUUGGCCACAUAAGGUAGCUCUCACACUAUUGGAAACUGCUGUGUAUACUCCCAGAGGAGAAGAAUAAGAAUCAGCAUCACCUGACUAUGAACCUUAAGCACUACAAUAAUGACCAUCCUGGUAGGACAUGUCCCUUUGACAUUGUUUUCUUCAUAUAAGAACUGUAUGUAUCAUGGUUAUUAGUAAACAUCACAAAUUUUACUUGUGAUAUAUUUCAUUUUAAAUCACUGAAUAUAUACACUUGGUCAAUAGAAUCUGCUUAUAAAAAUGCAAUUUAAAUGUUAUUUAGAAACAAUAUGCCUUGACAAAACAAACCACUCUAAUUAUAUGAAAAACAGAAGCCAAC